rnacentral:rRNA from 1 species
GAUGAACGCUGGCGGCGUGCCUAAUACAUGCAAGUCGAACGCAUCCUUCGGGGUGAGUGGCAGACGGGUGAGUAACGCGUGGGAACGUGCCCUUCAGUUCGGGAUAACCCAGGGAAACUUGGGCUAAUACCGGAUACGUGCGAGAGCAGAAAGAUUUAUCGCUGAAGGAUCGGCCCGCGUCUGAUUAGCUAGUUGGUGGGGUAAUGGCCCACCAAGGCGACGAUCAGUAGCUGGUCUGAGAGGCUGAUCAGCCACAUUGGGACUGAGACACGGCCCAAACUCCUACGGGGGGGAGCGGUGGGGAAUAUGGGACAAUGAGCGAAAGCCUGAUCCAGCCAUGCCGCAUGAGUGAUGAAGGCCUUAGGGUUGUAAAGCUCUUUCGCCAGGGAAGAUAAUGACGGUACCUGGAAAAGAGGCCUCGGCUAACUCCGUGCCAGCCGCCGCCGUAA